rnacentral:lncRNA from 1 species
UGCUUGCAGAGCUUUCCUUCCCUUCAUUAAGGUACUACGACUCACCACAACAUGGUCGCCGGCUGCUGCACCAACGAGGUGACGGUCAACGUCAGCGUCCACAGGAUGUGGAAGGCGGCCGCCUGCGAGGAUCACAUCCUGCUGCCAAAGAUCAUUCCUCAGUACUUCGCUGGCGCAGAGCUCGUCGGCGAUGGCGAAGCUGGCAGCACAAAGACCUUCCACUUCACUCCAGGUUUAGAUUUUGAUGCUGCUUUCCGACAUUCGUGUGCGUGCGAGAAGAGAUCGCAAAACAAGGAUAAAAAAUAAUCUCACAUCGAUAAAAAGAAUCGGAUGAUACAUAUCGAAACCUUUUUGGUUGAAUUGAUGUAUGAUCUGUUAAUUGGAACUAAUUUGGCUAUUGUUGCGAUCCAUCGAACUGCAGCCGCAGAGCCACUGACCUUCGUGAAGGACCAUGUUGAGGUGUUGGACCACGGAAGCCACACGAUGAGGUACAAGGCGAUCGAAGGAGGUCACCUCGGCCGCACGCUCAAGUCGCACGCGUUCGAGGUCAAGUUCGAAGCGGCGGGCGCCGACAGCUGUGUCGUGAAGACCAAGACAGAAUACGAUACGAUCGACGACGCGCCGCUGCCGGAGGACGAGGUGCAGAAGAUGACGGACGUGCCAGUACGGAUGAUGAAGUCGGUGGAAGCCUAUCUGAUAGCCAACCCCGGUGUUUGUGCCUGAGCCCCUGAGCCUCUGAGCCGGUGGGCUUUCGUGUACCGACGUUGGUGCUUCCAGUGUCGUAGUGCUUGUCAUUGGGCGUGGAUCAAUCAAUAAUGAGGUGAUGCAGCAGUGCUGGAAUCAUCACCUUUAGAGUGAGAGAGUGAGAGAGUGAGAGAGAGAUAGGACAUGACAUGUUGAUGCCAUCUCUCUCUUUGUCUGUUCUUUCCAUCUUCUGCAAUGUGGUGUUUUGUGUGGUCGUUGAAGGACAUAUAUCUACAAAUAAGAUGUGAUUUCUUUGGUAUCAUGUAAUCCUUCUUUUUUGGUAUCAUUCUUAGUAGUCUCUUUUAAAGAUUCAAAGACUAGCGUAAUCCAAAUUAAACAUGGAUUUAAUUGAUUUUACUUAAACUAUAUGAUACGUUUAUAAUGUUUGUUCGUAACGAGUCAACCUUCUCGUAAUUUUAUUUACUCUCAUCCAUAAAUAAAUCAGUUACCGAUAAAUGAAUGCAUGAACAAACAAAUCGAUGUCACCUUAGUAAAAUAUACCUUGGGAUUAUAUAACUAAAAUUGAACAAAAUACCUUCUUAGACGACUAAAAUGGAUGCAUUUUGCUGAAAGAUUUUACGAUAAAAAAUUGAAGGUUAAUUCGUCGUCCAUAAAGUUUAAGUACAUAAGUGAUAGGUUCAUCCAUCGUCCAUAAAGUUUAAGUACAUAAGUGAUAAAACUUCAUCCAAUCUUAUGUUUGUUCAAAAUUUAUAUAAUUAAAUUUGAACAAAAUAUCUUACUAAAAUGGAUGCAUUUUGCUUGCUCUGAAAAAAUUUUACGAUAAAAAAUUGAAGGCUAAUCCAUCGUCAAUAAAAUUUAAGUACAUAAGUGAUAACGUAUCUUAGAACUUUCAUCCAAUCUUGUGUCGGUUCAAAAUUAAAUGUUAACAUGACAUGAGAUUUGACGUAAUAGUGAUGUGACCUUAUCUACAAACUCGAUAGAAACAAAUUAAUUCUUCUAUUUUUUAAGAUAAAUACUGGUAAUACGGCAACAUCAAAAAUAUUAUAUCGUACAAUUUGGUUCUUCCUCUUAGUUUCAAACAUGAAGCUCCACAAAGACGGCAAUAAAAUAAAAUUAACGAAGAAAAAUGCAACACGACAUCAACUCAUCGUGAUCUCACUCACCCUAACAAAGAAUAUAAUAAUAAACUACACCGUUGAAUGAACUGUUAAUUCUUUCAUUAAAUGCAUGAAAUACAUUUAUGGUGAAACUUUGUUUCUAACAUACAUACAUACAUACAUACAUACAUACAUACAUAUUUUAAUCUGACUAGCAUAUGCUUGAAGAAUCCGAUCAUUCUCGACUACGGCUGAUGAUGAUAUGGGGCUGCUCAACAAUGAAGACCGCAAAGUCUGCAUGCUUGUGAGCUUUGAAGUCUUCGCUUCAGUCAACAAAUACUAGCUAGUUUGAAUGCUUCCAAGUUUACCAUGACACCCACUUCUUAGAACAUUGAAUUGGGAUGAGGAUGCCAACAAGAGAAGAUGAACCGAUUCAUUGGCAUGGAGCGAUCUUCGCGUCAUCUCAGACCCCCCCCUUUUUCCAAUCUAAUCGAUGAGGUUACCUAAAGUUCAAACUUCAUCUGGAAGCCCGAGAUGACCCGGCACUCCAUCGCCGUCUAUAAAUGGACUCUUCCCCUUCCCUUCACCACCAACCCAUCACAGCCUGCAGAGCUCUCAUCCGGCAAAACACCUUCAUCGACGCCAUGGUUGCCGGGUGCUGCACCGAAGAGCUGACGCUCAAUGUCAGCGUCCACAGAGUAUGGAAGGCGGCCGCCUGCGAGGAUCACAUCCUGCUGCCAAAGAUCAUGCCGCAGUACUUCUCCGGCGCCGAGCUCAUCGGGGAUGGUGAAGCUGGCAGCACCAAGAUCUUCCACUUCGAUCCAGGUUUGGAUUCACAUCACCAAUGCUUCUUUCAGGUAACAGGAAGAUCCGUAAACUAUGCUGAUUUCAACUGGCAAUUCUGUGGAUGAGACUGCAGGUAUGAAGCCACUGAUCUUCGUGAAGAACCAUGUCGAAGUGCUGGAUCAUGGGAGCCACACCUUGAAGUACAAGACCGUCGAGGGAGGCCACCUCGGCCACACGCUCAAGUCGCACACCAUCGAGCACAAGUACGACGCCUUGAGCGCCGACACCUGCUCUCUGAAGAUCAAGGUGGAGUAUGAUACCAUCGACGACAAGGGGCUCCCCGAGGAGGAGGUGAACAAGAUCAAGGAGGGGUCGGUAUGGGUCGCCAAGGCUGUGGAAGGUUACCUGACCACCAACCCCGCUGCUUAUGCCUAAGCCUCUGGAAACUAUCCGUAUUGUCUGUCAUGUGUGGCUUAAUAAUGGUGGCGAUGCAGCAAUACUACUCAUCGUCACCACGAGAGAGAGAGAGAGAGAGUGUGU